rnacentral:antisense_RNA from 1 species
UGAGGACCCCAGUCGCUGGGCUGCCAUUCUGGAGCGCCACGAGAGGUGCUACCGGCGAGCGCGAGCCCCCCGAGGGCGGCUGGAAGCCCCGGACCGUUGGUAGAGUGGAAGGGGAUAGAGAUCGGUGGGGCGAGCGUCCCCCGUGGCCAGACCUCCCCUCACCGCCCUUCCUCAGAGGGGCGCUUCCGGCCACGUCUGCAGCAGCUGGUGGCCACCAAUCCCCCUGAGCUGGUUGUGCACUGUUCGACCGCCACCUUCUGCCUCCUGCCAGAUGUGGGGGCUGCAGUCACCGAGCUGUGUGCCCUCUGCGGUGUGGGCCCACCACAGCCUCGGUCCUGGCAGCUGGAGCUCCAGAGAUGGAGGCCUUCAUGUCAGAUGAGGCAGUGGCCACAGUGCCCGGCUGGCCGGCCCCACAGUACACCCUCAGCCAGUGCCUCAGGACAGUGGACUCCCUACCUAGUGGAGACAGCACUGUGGACCUGGGCUAUGGGGCAGAGGCUGUGCCCAGACCUGCUGCCCAACCUUGGCCCCAGCCUGGCCACCCACGAGGAUGCUAGGCCAGCCAAGAAGCAUGGAACCCAGGCCGAGUGAACUUGGCCAUGGCCCAGGCCUGCUCACCUGCCACAGAACCUCAGGCCUCCGGGUCUCACUGGACGGCAGGGAGGCUGAAGAGGGGGCUGGCCACUACGGGAGCUCAAUAAACACUUCCCAAACUCCACCCAGCCUGACCACACACCCGGCCUGACCACACACCCGGCCUGACCACACGCCCGGCCUGAUCACACGCCCGGCCUGAUCACACA